AAUGCACCAAUUUGUAAGUCGCUAUGGAUAAGAGCGUCUGCUAAAUGUCUUAAA
rfam:Salmo salar isolate Sally breed double haploid chromosome ssa12, whole genome shotgun sequence.